rnacentral:rRNA from 1 species
UACGUAGGGUGCGAGCGUUGUCCGGAAUUACUGGGCGUAAAGAGCUCGUAGGCGGCUUGUCGCGUUGUUCGUGAAAAUUUACCGCUCAACGGUGAACUUGCGGGCGAUACGGGCAGGCUAGAGUACUGCAGGGGAGACUGGAAUUCCUGGUGUAGCGGUGAAGUGCGCAGAUAUCAGGAAGAACACCGGUGGCGAAGGCGGGUCUCUGGGCAGUAACUGACGCUGAGGAGCGAAAGCGUGGGGAGCGAACAGG